rnacentral:rRNA from 1 species
GUGGGGAAUUUUGGACAAUGGGCGCAAGCCUGAUCCAGCAAUGCCGCGUGCAGGAAGAAGGCCUUCGGGUUGUAAACUGCUUUUGUACGGAACGAAACGGCUCUGGUUAAUACCCGGGGCUAAUGACGGUACCGUAAGAAUAAGCACCGGCUAACUACGUGCCAGCAGCCGCGGUAAUACGUAGGGUGCAAGCGUUAAUCGGAAUUACUGGGCGUAAAGCGUGCGCAGGCGGUUGUGUAAGACAGGCGUGAAAUCCCCGGGCUCAACCUGGGAAUUGCGCUUGUGACUGCACAGCGGGAGUGCGGCAGAGGGGGAUGGAAUUCCGCGUGUAGCAGUGAAAUGCGUAGAUAUGCGGAGGAACACCGAUGGCGAAGGCAAUCCCCUGGGCCUGUACUGACGCUCAUGCACGAAAGCGUGGGGAGCAAACAGGAUUAGAUACCCCUGUAGUCC